GGACGAUGAUAUUCUUUGUAACUUAAGGUCUCGUUCGUCGUAAUUGGCUCAACGGGUCUUGCCGAUCAUCCUGACAUAUCACCACCAUAUCCCGAGGUCC